rnacentral:sRNA from 1 species
GCUGAGUGUGGUGGUGCACACCUGUAAUCCCAGAAGCUUGGGGGGCUGAGACAGGAGGAUCACGAGUUCAAAGCCAGCCUCAGCAAUGGCGAGGCACUAAGCAACUCAGUGAGACCCUGUCUCUA